rnacentral:rRNA from 1 species
CCGAGAAUAUUCGACAAUGGGCGAAAGCCUGAUCGAGCGAUACCGCGUGGUGGAUGAAGUGCUUCGGCACGUAAACACCUUUUAUGGAGGAGGAAGUUAUUGACGUUACUCCAUGAAUAAGGGGCUCCUAACUCUGUGCCAGCAGGAGCGGUAAUACAGAGGCCCCGAGCAUUACCCGGAAUUACUGGGCGUAAAGAGUGCGUAGGUGGUCGUGUUAGUCGUUUGUUAAAAACCCGGGCCCAACCCGGGAAGUGCGAACGAAACGGCACGACUAGAGGGAGUGAGAGGUGAAUGGAACUCAUGGUGUAGGGGUGAAAUCCGUUGAUAUCAUGGGGAACACCGAAAGCGAAGGCAAUUCACUGGCACUUUCCUGACACUCAAGCACGAAAGCGUGGGUAGCGAACGGGAUUAGAUACCCGCGUAGUCC